rnacentral:sRNA from 1 species
CCAGCACCAGGGAGGAUAACGUUGCGUAAGCAACGGCCCGAAGGGCGAGGCUUAGCUGAGUCAUCCUCCCGGAUGCACCA